rnacentral:rRNA from 1 species
UCUUGAAUUUAGUUGAGGUGGGCGGAAUACGUUAUGUAGCGGUGAAAUGCAUAGAUAUAACGUAGAACACCGAUUGCGAAGGCAGCUCACUAAGCUAACAUUGACGCUGAUGGACGAAAGCGUGGGGAGCGAACAGGAUUAGAUACCCUGGUAGUCCACGCCGUAAACGAUGAUUACUCGUUGUGCACGAUACACUGUGCGUGACUGAGCGAAAGCAUUAAGUAAUCCACCUGGGGAGUACGUUCGCAAGAAUGAAACUCAAAGGAAUUGACGGGGGCCCGCACAAGCGGAGGAACAUGUGGUUUAAUUCGAUGAUACGCGAGGAACCUUACCUGGACUUAAAUGUAGAUUGACCGGUUUAGAAAUAGAUCUUCCCUUCGGGGCAAUUUACAAGGUGCUGCAUGGUUGUCGUCAGCUCGUGCCGUGAGGUGUCGGGUUAAGUCCCAUAACGAGCGCAACCCCUAUCGUUAGUUGCUAGCAGGUAAUGCUGAGGACUCUAGCGAGACUGCCACCGUAAGGUGAGAGGAAGGUGGGGAUGACGUCAAAUCAGCACGGCCCUUACGUCCAGGGCUACACACGUGUUACAAUGGCCAGUACAAAGGGCAGCUACCUGGUGACAGGAUGCUAAUCUCUAAAGCUGGUCUCAGUUCGGAUCGGAGUCUGCAACUCGACUCCGUGAAGUUGGAUUCGCUAGUAAUCGUAGAUCAGCAAUGCUACGGUGAAUACGUUCCCGGGCCUUGUACACACCGCCCGUCAAGCCAUGGAAGCCGAGGGGACCUGAAGUUCGUAACCGCAAGGAGCGACCUAGGGUAAAAUUGGUAACUAGGGCUAA